AUAAAAAAUAAUUUAUCCAGAGCAUAUUGAGACACAAGGGAGAGAUUGUGAAAUCUGAAAACCAGUGGGAAUCAGUGUCAUCACCAUGCUCGUCAUGAGAACAUCAUAGGAAGCUUUGAUGGCUAAACCAAACCCUAAAACCCGCUUCAUCCUUCGAAGCGAUUUUCCCGGAGAACGUAACGAACCUUCUAUUUGAAAAAGAAGGCCUAAGCAUUUUGUAUUGGUGGACCUCUUCCUCCCAAGAAGGAUCUUACUCACUGCAUCAAAUGGCCAAAGGCAAUCCAUCUCCAAAGGCAGAAGAUGAUCCUUAAGCAGGGGUGGAAGGCCCCACCAUCAAUCACCUCACUAAGACUUUCGGCAAGGUUCUUGGUAAAGUCUAUUACAUAAUUUUAAUGUUGAUUUUGGAACUUUUAUUGCAUAAUUUCACUAUAUUUGUUGUAACAGCUGAUUGAAACUAACAGAAUAUUGUAUUGAUGUAUCAAUGAACAUGCUCUUUGUGUGUGUA